CGUCAGCACGUUGCGGCGGGGAAAGGGCGCGCCUUGGAGACGUAGGUCCACCCCGGCCGGCCUGGACCAAGGUCGCGGAGGUGGCGGCACGGACUGGCCCCCCACCCGAGCGGCGCGUGUCAGUCUGGCUCUGGCGGGAACUUCCUUACAGAGGGCGAGCGGCCAGUGCUGGGCGGACUGACACUGAGUUAGAGAGGGGAGGUGCGGUCAGAGUCGGCGGUGAGGCAAAACCUUUUAUUCAUGCCAGGAGGUGAAAGCUUUAACGCCCCCUAGGACACUCGGCAAUCGGAAGUGGCCCCUGGAAUAUUGUAUAAUUAUCUUUUGGUGUUCGUACCCAUUCCAUGGAUGUUUUUGAGUUUUCGAAAAGCAGUUACGAAGCGUUUUCUCUGGGGACGAGGCUGUUACCUCGUCCAGUUCCUGCAAAUUUCUGAAAUCGUCAUCAUCAAACUAGUGCCUGAGGGCUAGUACAAGACCCUGAGUUCCCAGGACGUUCUGUUCCAACCGCUCCGUUGUCACUUGAUUCUGACAUACCUCAAAUGUGGGAGCAGUUUUGAAACUGAAUGGAUAGAGGAUUGGUGGCAGAAGACCAGCACAGCAGAGAAGUGGCAGCAGCAGAGAAGUGGCAACAGCAGAGAAGUGGCAGCAGCAGAACCAGGAGACCAACACCAGACAGCACUGGAGCCAACCCAUGGAGUGAGAGAGCUGAGUGCCUGUGCGCAAGACGCUUCCUGGCAGAGUAGGGUGCCUCUAGGCAGCUAUUGAUGGUGCUACAGAGCUUUGGAACACCCUCUCUAGCAGGGCAGAUGCAGGCUUGAGGCCUGAGGAGCUGAAAAGCUGAGAAACCAGGAAGCAAAAGCUGAAAAGACAAAGAACACAAGAAACCGAGCUGCCUCAGUCUCAAAAGGUACAGCGCUGUUUCCACCGGGCUCCAGAGGUGCGUGCAGACUUGCUGCCACCUGGCCACACCUGACGUGACAGGAGAUACCAACAUAGUCUCAAGUGUCCACCUGAUCCAAGAAGCUCACUCCUCAGCAGCAUUCCUCUCCAUCCCAUUGUCCAGUCCAGCCCCUGUCUGAAGAGUUGGCUUUGGGAAUGGUUCCUGUCCUGGGCCAACAGAAGGUCUGGGGCCAUGACCACCAGGGUCCUUCUAAUCUCAGUCAGACCAUUAAGUCUGGUCUUUUUACAAGAAUUUGGGGUCUGCAUCCCAGCUUUUGGUCUUGUUAAUUCUUUGAAUUUUUCUGUUUUCUAUUUCAUUUAGUUCUGCUCUAAUUUUUAUUAUUUGUUUUCUUCUGGUGCCUGUGUGUUUCUUUUGUUGCCAUCUUUCUAUUUGUUCAAGUUGUAGGGAUAAUUUUUUAAUUUUUUGCCUUUUUUCUUUUUGUAUGUGUGCAUUUAUUGAUAUAAAUUGACCUCUGAGCAUUGCUUUAGCUGUGUCCCAAAGGUUCUGAUAGGAAGUGUUUUCAUUCUCAUUGGAUUCUCUGAAUUUGUUUAUUCCAUCCUUAAUGUCUUCUAUAAUCCAGUCUUUUUUGAGCAGGGUAUUGUUCAGUUUCCAAGUGUUUGAUUUCUUUUCCCUGAUUUUUCUGUUACUGAUUUCUACUUUUAUGGCCUUAUGGUCAGAGAAGAUGCUUUGUAAUAUUUCAGUGUUUUGGAUUCUGCUAAGGCUUGCUUUAUGUCCUAAUAUGUGGUCUAUUCUAGAGAAUGUUACAUGUGGACUAGAAAAGAAAGUAUACUUGGCUGCUGUUGGGUGGAGUGUUCUGUAUAUGUCUGUGAGGUUAAUUUGGUUGAUUGUGGCACUUAGAUCUUCCGUGUCUUUAUUGAGCUUCUUUCUGGGUAUCCUGUCCUUCACCGAAAGUGGUGUGUUGAAGUCUCCUACUAUUAUUGUGGAGCUGUCUAUCUCACUUUUCAAUGCUGAUAGAGUUUGUUUUAUGUGUCUUGCAGCCCUGUCAUUGGGUGCAUAAAUAUUUAAUAUGGUUAUAUCUUCUUGGUAUAUUGUCUCUUUAAUCAUUAUAUGGUGUCCUUUCUUAUCCUUUAAGAUGGAUUUAACUUUAAAGUCUAUUUUGUCAGAAAUUAAUAUUGUCACUCCUGCUCUUUUUUGAUUGUUGUUUGCUUGAUAUAUUUUUUUUCUAUCCUUUGAGUUUUUGUUUGUUUGUGUCUCUAUGUCUAAGGUGUGUCUCUCAUAGGCAGCAUAUAAACGGAUCAUGUUUUUUAAUCCAUUCUGUCACUCUCUGUUUCUUUAUUGGUGCAUUUAGUCCAUUUACAUUCAGCGUAAUUAUGGAUAGGUAUGAAUUUAGUGCUAUCAUUUUGAUGUCUUUUUUUGUGUGUUGUUGACAGUUUCUUUUUCCCACUUAAUUUAAUGUGCUGAGUAGAUUAUCUUUAUAUAUUGCACUUUCCUCAUAUUUGUUGUUGUUGAUUUUGUUUCUGCUGAGUCUCUAUUUUUUUCUUGUAUUUUGUUUUGAUGUGUAGGAUAGUGUGUCUCCGUUACGGUUAUCUUAUUAUUUACCACUAUUUUUCUAAAUUUAAACGUAACUUUUAUUUCUUUGUAUCGCCUUGUCUUUGUCCUCUCCAUAUGGAAGAUUUAUGACCACAUUUCUCAGUCCCUCUUUAUUGUUUUAAUGUUAUCUUCUUUUAUAUAAUAACAUCGCUCUUUCCCUGUUUUGAGCAUUUUUUAAUCUUGAUUUACUUUUUUAAUUUCCCUGUCUGGAUUGACUUCUGAUUGCCCAGUGUUCUUGUCUUGGGAUGAUACCUGAUAUUAUUGAUUUUCUAACCAAAGAACUCCCUUUAGUGUUUCUUGUAGUUUUGUUUUAGUUUUUACGAAUUCUCUAAACUUCUCUUUAUCUGCAAAUGUCCUAAUUUCACCUUCAUAUUUGAGAGACAGUUUUGCUGGAUAUAUGAUUCUUGGCUGGCAGUUUUUUCCUUCAAUUUUUUUAAUGUCAUCCCAUUGCCUUCUUUCCUGCAUGAUUUAUGCCAAGUAUUCCGAGCUUAUUCUUAUUGACUCUUCUUUGUAGGUGACUUUUCGUUUAUCCCUAGCUGCUCUUAAAAUUCUCUAUCUUUGGUUUUGGUAAGUUUGAUUAUGUCUUUGUGAUUUUCUUUUAACAUCUACCUUAUGUGGAGUUUGAUGAGCAUCUUGGAUAGAUAUCUUCUCAUCUUUCACGAUAUCAGGGAAGUUUUCUGUCGACAAUUCUCUGUGUAUUUUCUGUUAUCCCUCCCUGUUCUGAUAUAACAAUCACUUGUAGGUUAUUUCUCUUGAUAGAGUCCCACAUGAUUCUUAAGUUUUCUUAAUUUUUUAAAAUUCUUUUAUCUGAUUUUUCUUCAAAUAUAUUAGUGCCAAGUGCUUUAUCUUGAAGUUCAGAAAUUCUGCCGUCUACGUGCUCGAUUCUGCUCCUCUGACAUUCUAUUGAGUUGUCUACUUCUGUAAUUUUAUUGUGAAUCUUCUGAAUUUCUGAUUGCUGUCUGUCUAUGGAUUAUUCUAGCUUAUUAAAUUUUUCAUUAUGUUUCUGAAUAAUCUUUUUAAUUUUUUAAACUGCUUUAUCUGUGUCUUCCUUGUCUUGUUCUGCAUGUUGCCUCAUUUCCUUCUUGAUGUCUUGAAGGGUUCUGUAUAUUGAUCUUUUGUAUUCUGCCUCCGGUAAUUCCAGGAAGGCACUUUCAUCUAGAAGAUCCCUUGAUUCUUUGUUUUGAGAGCUUGUUGAGGCAAUCAUGGCCUGUUUCUUUAUGUGACUUGAUAUUGAGUGUUGUCUCCAAGCUAUCUAUAAGUUAUUCUAUUGGUGUAUUUUAUGUUUUCUUACUGUGUCAUAGCUUCUUGCUUUGUUUUGUUUUGACAUGCCCAAAUGGGUUGUUUGAGUGAGGUAGCUUGAUUAUUUUCACGUUUGGAGCUCUGACGUCCUGUCUCCAAAUGGCUAGAGCUGUUAUCAAUUAUAUCAGUCUAAGAGUCCAUUCACUUUUCUUGUAUGAAUUCAGCUCAGGUGUCCAGGUAGCUGAUCAUCAAGUGUGUGGUACAGGCUCUGUCCUACAGUCUUAGAAGGGCAGGGGCGAUUGGUAUAGGUACUGGUAUUUGGUUACAGCAGGGGGUCAUGCUCUGAACAAGGCAUGGGGCUGAGAAUCGUCCUCCAAGUGUCUCUGAGGAAUGCAUGUCCCUGUUCCCAAGAGCAUACCGGUGGGUGGGUUCAACAGACAGACCAUGGACACCCCAUGUUUUUGGUUGUAAGGACUGGGAGGUACCAGUUAUCCUUGGACCCCUGUUGUGGGUGGCUGGGUGACCUGACUAGAGCCACCAGUCCUUAGGCCCCUGGUGUGGGUAGAUGAGGACCCUGUUUAAUAGGCAAAGCAACGACAAACGUCAAAUACCCACCUCUCCAUCACACAGCUGAAACGGUUGUAGUCUGCCAACAAGGGCCUAUUCUCCUGAAAUAGGCCCACGCAGGUCCAUGUAGAGGGGAAAGGUACUGAAAGUCCACGGACUCUUUAUGCCUGGACAGAAGCCGUGCCUGGACAGAAGCCGCCUCUGUCCUCAGCUCAUCUGGUUAGUGAAGCUGCCAAAUUAUCUUUUCCCCCAAUAGCAAAUUUAUUCCUUCUCCAAGGCCGGGAGGAUGGCUCUACGUGCUCAACAGGGCAUAUCUCAGGCCCAGGGAAAUCAGCCGCUGAAGCCAGCUUGGGAGCAGGGGUGCGCAGUAAAAUAUAUGCAAAUACUUAGCUUUUGCUGAGAGCACUUUUCUUCUCUGGUUCCAGAGGUGUGAGUAGGCUGUAUGGCUGGCUGGUUCUCCCUGAGGAAAGUGCGGCCAAAUGCUAGUACCAACCCACUGCAGCAGCUCUCAGGAAUGGCGCCUGAGUGCUUCCUGCGAUUCAGGUUGGCAGUUCAAACCACCCAGAAGGACCUCUAAAGAAAAGCCUGAUGAUCUACUUUCAAAAAAUCAGCCACUGAAAACCUUGUAGAGCAUACUUCUGCUCUGUAAUGUAUAGGGUUGCCAUGAGUUGGAGUUGACUCAAUGGCAACUGGUUUUAUUGUGUUUACUAUCUCUAUUGUAUUAUCCCUUAUUUCUCAAUGUUUCUUUCAUGCAUUAUUCAACAAGUAUUCAUUGAAAGUACGGGUCCAGGUAUUAGAAGUGCCAAGGUGUAUGGUCACAGUUGUAUCCUCAGAGAGUACAGCCUGAUGGGGGGUCUGGCAUUUGACCAGAAAUACAGUGUAGAGAUAGGUGCACAUAGGUAGGGCAUUGAAAUAGGUGAACUUUCAUGGGCACCAACUGAAAUAAUAACUCUGUUGAUAAGAAUCCGUACAAAGUUGGUUCCUAUGAGGUGGAGGGCAAAUAUAUCCUCAUUCUCCAACUUCUCCACCAUUUCUGAAACCAGCUGUUCUCCCCAUGGCAUUCUUUUUCUAUUGGAUUCAAUAAUUCAUUGCAGUGAUUACAGAGAACUCAUGGAAACACCAAAUCUGCAAUAACAACAGAGAAGGAUAUAAACAGAAACAAAGAUAUGCAUAGGUAAGGUUUGGGAGUGGUCCCAGCAUGGGCCUUCAACCUCUUAAUGGGAUCUGCUUACCCUUUCUGAAAGCCAGUGUUCAUUCUCACCCAUCAGGAAAUUUUCAGACAGGAAAAAAUGAUGUCAUUUGGCUGGCUUGACUAUUGGCCACUCCUCUCAGCUGGCUCCUGGCUCUUCCUGGCCAGCCCUAGGACAGCUUUUAGAUGGACCCUACUCUGCAGAUGGCCCCCUACUUGGAGCUCCCUGCUCAGGGCGCCCCAGCUCUCAGAUUGUUGCGGUUCUGGGCUGGAUUCAGCCUUUACGCUCUGCUGUCACCAUUCAGAGCUGCCCUUUGUCUUCAUCUCUUCAGGUACAUUGCAGCUGCUGCUUCCAUUGCCGGUGCUGGUUUACCCAGUCUGGGAGGGUCAUGGCACAGGGCCCCAUGUCCAAAUGAUGUGCUCCUUUCCUGGCUGUUAUCAAUCAGGAGGCCCCAACCGAGGCUCCAUGUUCUAGGGUUUCGUCAGUCACUGGGUGGGCCCCUCAGCCAGUCUGGGUAAAGGUCAACUAGUGGGUGGAAGCCCAGUCAAGGUCAACUACAGGAUGGGGCCCCCAGGCAAUCUCAGUAAAGAUCAGACCAGGUGGGGCCCCCCAGCCAAUCCUGGUAAAGGUAGAUUACCAGAUGGGGCUCCCAGCCAAUUUGGGUAAAGGUCAGUUAUUGGGCAUGGCUCCCCAGCCAAACCUGGUAAAUGUCAGACUGGUCAGGGCUUUGAAACCAGGACCAGAAGGCAGAAUUAGUUCUUUAGUAAGAUGAUUCCAUACUGUGCAGACAUCUAGUCCAGACUGGGAGUCAGAUAAUAUUUUCUGGAGGUUAUCUGAGCUGAGUCUUGAGGGAAAAUGGGAGUUAUCCAGAUAAGGUAUGGGAGGAAGGAUAUUCCCGAACUAUUUGGACAUCUGUGUUAUGGGCCAUCUAGCUCCUUUAUAGGAAUGCCUGUGGCUCUCCUGGAAGCCACCAUAUUCAUAGGGUCUUCAUGGUGUCCCCUGAGCCACAAAUGGUCGUUACGGUAGAGACGCUGCCAAACUGAGCCUGUCAGAGUCUUUCCCCAGAAUGAUUUGAAUCGUCAAUGGCAAGCAAUCAGCCUCUUCCUGGAGGUAGGAACGGCAAGAUGUGAGACCCAGGAGUUGGCCUCCACGGUCCUUUCCUUGUGGAGAGAACUGUCCUGCAGUGAAGGACAGUGGGGCCACCACAAGGAGUGCAGAGAGACAUGAGGAGUCCCAGGCACUCAGACUCCAGUCGUUCCCAAGAGUCGAAUUCAUCCCCAUCUUACUCAUGGUCUGACGGUCAACCCUUCCUUGGAUUAUGUGAUGUACUACACUGCUUUGCGAAAAACUCUUAAUUAUCUAAUUAUCGAUAAUAAAUAAGUGAAUUCCUAAUAAAUUGCCUAAGAUAUUCUCAGUGCAGUUUCUAUCUCCAUAACAAAAAUCAUUCCAACUAAUGCAGGAUCCUAAUCACUGGGGAGCUCACACUCCAUGAGCCAGUGAGAGUGGAGGACAAGUGCUCUUGUUUGGAAAAUGGGGCUGCGUGCAUAGCAGGUGGUGUCACUCAAGCACUGCCUGAUGUUUCUAGCUGAUGGGUUUAUAACUGAAAUACUAAACCACUCUGGAGGCUUUAGUCACACACAGGCUAGAUUACUGAAAGACCAUCAAAGAAGCCGCUAUCAGACCCCACUCACCACACAUUUCAUGACCCACCAGUGCCUUUAAGACCAUGUACUGCACCCAGGGUCUUACUUCCCCUGACCUUGCCUCUUCUUGAGCAUUAUCAUCUCAGAUCUCAGACUGCCCUUGACUUCACAUUAACACAUUACAUUAUAGCUGUCACAUAUCAACUCCGUCCUUGACCUCAACCUGUUUCUCUCUUGUAUAGGCUUUGAUGACCUUGUUAUACUUUUCCUAGUAUAUUACCACUCUAUAGAGUCUGUUUUUAGUUUUGCUUUUUUGUGUUCAAGCUGAAAACUUGAAGGAACCCUUGAGUCCCCGAGGCUACUCAAAGGCCCAGCCAGACACUCUUUGGCUUAAAGAGCUGUAAUAACUUAAGGGAUUCCUUCUUGAAUUUUAGGAAGAGCAGAGGCUAACAGUAGAAGAACAGGACAUCUGAGGUCAAUAAGGAGUGGGUGGAGAGUGGAACUGGGGAGCCCUGGUGGCUGCUGAGGCCAAACUUUAGCAGCAACAUCAUCAAAGUCCUUGAUUGUCCUAAGACUGGUGUGCUCGGGGGAGAUUAGACUUAUAUCAGUUCUUGUUUGGAGGUUUGCCCAGAAGAUUUGUUAGGCGUCUCUGGAAGAGCAACUACAUCCAAAGCCAGAGCUCAACGCUGAGUCCCAGUUGUUGACAAAGAUGAUGAACACACUGUUGACUUCAAUCUUUGUGGUGGGAAAAAAGUCCAGUCUAAUUUUUAAUACCAGUAUUGACUCUGUUUGUCCUUAAACCUUGCUCUCCUGUUCCAAACCUCUUAGAGGCACCAGAAGAGUCAGGCAAACAGCAGGUCUUUUGAAACACUUUCAUCUGAAAGGGCCAAGUUCAACAGGUUUACAAAAGUCCAAUUCAUCCAGACAGGAGUAUACUCUAUCGAUGCACUUGAGCUCUGAUAGUAAAACAUAAAGUGAUUUGUUACUGCUUGGAAAGGUUUUCUGGAAAGGCAUCUUUAUGAAUAAAUUGAGGCAUAACAGAGACGCUGACCCCACAAUGUGUCCACAUUUUCCUCAGGAGGAAUAGAUGGUGAGUGCUCUUUUCUGAUUUCAGUACAUUACCAAGAUCAUUCUUUGCCAGCUGUAAGAAAUUUGGAGGAGAGUUCAGAGACAAGAUAUAUUGAUGCAACAGUUUUUAAAUAUUGAGUCAGCUCUCCAUUUUUUGAGGUGAGAAGAGUCGGGGGAACUGCGUGAUCUCCUUCUGGGUAAUAGCUUUCAGAGGCCAGAAGGAGUAGCAGGAAAAUGGCCCAAACUGGAAUUAGCUCCUGAAUUAAUAAGAUAUUGGCCCUCAGAGAAGUUGUAAAAAGUCUGGGGAAAUGCUUGAAUAAUGAACUACUCGUCAUGAGACACGUGAGUAAAACAGGUUCCAUAAGAAGCAGGUAUAAAGAUGUUCCUGGGUGGCGCAAGUGGUUAACGUACUUGGUUGCUAACUGAAAGGUUGGAGGUUCAAGUCCACUCAGAGGUGCCUCAGAAGAAAGGCCUGGUGAUCUACUUCCAAAAUAGCAGCCGUUGAAAACUCUAUGGCGCACAGUUCUACUCUUACACACAUGGUAUCCUCAUGAAUUGGAGUCCACUCAAUGGCAACUGGUUCUAAAGACAAAAAAAUACCAUUGCUGUGGAGUCGAUUCUGACUCAUUGAUCCUAUGUUAAAGAGUAGAGCUGCUUCAUAAGGUUUUCUUGGCUGCGAUCUUAACAGAAGGAACCCUAGUGAUCCAGUGGUUAAAGCACUCAGCUGCUAAGCAAAAGGUGAGUGGUUGGAACCCACAAGCCCCUCUGCAGAAGAAAGAAGUGGCAGUCUGCUUCCGUAAAGAUUUACAGCCUUGGAAACCCUAUGGGUCAGUUCUACUGUGUCCUACAGGGUCUCUAUGAGUCGUAAUUGACAGCAGUGGGUUUGGUUUUUUAUUUAGUAUUAAUGUAAGCUGAUCACCAGGCCUGUCUUUCUUAGUACUGCUGGGUGUGUUUGAACCACCGAACUUUAGGUUAGUAGUUGAGUGCAAACCGUUUACACCACCUAGGGACUGACCAAGGGCCUGAAGCUGGAAUUGGAAUGAGAGAACUGGUCCUGAUUAUGGCUCAGACUACAGAAAGCCAGCUUUAUAUAUGUCAAAUCUACAUGGUAUGACUCCAAAUGACAGAACUCUUUCUAACUUCUGAGGAGAGGGGGCAGCAUUCCAAGCAGUCCUUAAGAACACCUUUGGAAUGUAUUUCAGAGUCACUAUUUACAUUAUGUGCAGACUUUUCUAUUGCAGUACUGAGACUGUGUAAUGAUGUGAGAGGUAGAGGGUGGUAGCAGUACAGGGAUAAGGCAUCCAACAAAGAGGAUCCACAACAGGCCAAUGGCAGCUGGGGCAGCCGCCCUCUUGUCAACCCAUGGGUACCUGGCAGCUGUUCCUCUCUGGGGGUUAUCUGCCAAAAAUAGCAGGCUGAAGGUUUACUGAGGUAUUUACACUGAUUUUUAGAUCUCCUCAGGCUAGACUGCAAAUGGAUAGCCUGGAAAACAAAGGUUUUGCACCCACUCAUUCCUUUGGUGAUUACCAGCAUGGACCUCCAUCUCAGAGACCCAAUGUCCUGCUACGAGAGAUUUCACAGUCCCUGGGGAGAUUUUAGCAUUGGGAGGCCAUAAGUCAUGACUUCUGAGCAAGAGGCUGAGAGAACAAUGACGGGGAUCCAGGAUCACGGAACCCUUGGACCAGUAGCCAAUUGUGUCUGUAGGCUCUUGAGAGAGUUAUACAGAGACUUGGACACCAAGGCAGAAUCUCUGCUUAUUAUUUGAAGGUUUUGACCCCAAUUCCUGAGAGGAAACACUGGCUCUGGAUUGCUGGAAUGGACCAUUGGUGAGCCCCAAUCAACAAUUCAGCAAAUUGGCUUUUGAUGAAUCAAUCCUUUGUCCAUUUGAUGAAUUGACUUUUUAAGAAUUGAUGUUUGGAGAAAUGAAUGGUAACUCUCUGGAGUCUCUUUCACAGACUAGUAGAAAAAACUGGGUGGGAAAACUUUAACCACACAGAGAAGCUCUGUUCAGCCUCUGUGUUGAGCUGGAACUUCAGAGAUAAGGCUGCAGGUGGGCAGGGUUUUCCUGUGGCCUCUGUGCUCUUCAGUUCUCAUGGCCCCAGGCAGAAGCUGGGCUGAGCAGAAGUCAACAGAUAAAUCUUCAGGCAAGAGAACUGCCUUCCAGAAAUGUCAUGAGGGAAGAAAGAGAAGUGCUGGGGGAGUGGGAGGGGUCAGAUAGAACAUUGUCGGUACAGCUUUGGGGGGACAUGGUGAGUUACCUGUGGCUUUGUUCUCAUCCGUGCUUUUGCUGGUCUUUGCAAGGCCAACAUUACCUGAGACAAUUUGGCUGCCCAAAUCUCCCUGAGGGACAGGUUCCAUUGGUCAGGUGGGCCUGGUUCAGCUUGCCUUCAACUCUGAUUGCUGUCUGCACUCAUGGCUCCCUCUUGGCAGCUAGGGGUGACUUCAGUCUAUGCCUGUCAUUCUGCUGCUUCUUCAAAUGUGUUCCCUGCUGCCCUGCUCUUCUUGUACCUGUUCUAGACCAUUUGCCCUGGGUUUGUUGCUGUCAUUUUCCUUGCAAAAGUGUGCUUUCUGCUCCAAGAUGCCUCAAUUUUUCUCACUCAUUCCUCCUCUCAUAAAAUGAACCUCAGAGGCUUCCUCUUAAAAUAUUCUUCCAUUUGUAUAGCUGAUCAAUUGGGGAUAAGGCUGGGGGUUUACCUUCCUCAUUCUCAGAGAAAGAAGGUGGUGUCUUUUUUCUCUUCUGGUAAAUUAUUAGGUGGAUUUAAAUAAUCUUUACAUGUAUUCUUUUAGUUUUGAAACAGCUUUAUUGAGGUAUAAUUGACAUGAUAAACUGCACAUAUUUAAAGUGUACAAUCUUAUGCUUAUUGAUAUAUUUAUGCAUCUAUAUACCUGUGAAACCAUUACCACAAUCAAUAUAGAAAACAGGUAUUCAUCACCCUCAAAGGCUUUCUUGUGUUCCUGGGAAUGUCGCCCUCCCCAAGCCACUGCUUAUCUGCUAUAGAUUAGUUUGCAUUUUCGAGAAUUUUAAAUAAAUGGAACCCCACACAGUGUGUGCUUUUUUUAAAUUUGCCUUCUUUCACUCUGUAAUUUUUUAAAACUGUACUUUAAAUGAAGGUUUACAGAAAAAACUAGCUUCUCAUUAGUACACAUAUUGUUUUGUGAACAUUGGUUGCCAACGCCAUGACAUGUCAAUACUCUCCCCUUCUUGAUCUUGGGUUCCCUGUUACCAGCUUUCCUGUCCCCGUCUGCCUUCUAGUCCUUGCCUCUGGGCAGGUGUGCCCCUUUAGUCUCAUUUUGUUUUAUGGGCCUGCCUAAUCUUUGCCUGCAGAGUGAACCUCAGGAGUGACUUCAUUGCUAACCUAAAAGGGCAUCCAGGAGCUGUACUCUCAGGGUUUCUCCAGACUCUGUCAGACCAGUAAGUCUGGUCUUUUUCUUUUCUUUUUGUGAGUUAGCAUUUUGUUCUACAUUUUUCUCCAGCUCUGUCCGGGACUCUCUCUGUCAAAGCAGUUGGUGGUGGUAGCUGGACACCAUCUAGUUGUGCUGGGCUCAGUCUGGUGGAGGCUAUAGUACUUGUGGUCAGUCAUUUGGACUAAUCUUUGCCUGGUGUCUUUUGUUUUCAUCAUUCUCCCUUGCUCCAGACAGGGUGAGAACCGUGACAUAUCUUAGAUGGCCGCUCACAAGCUUUUAAGACCCCAGACUUAACUCACCAAAGUAGAAUGUAGAUCUAUGUUAUGCCAGUUGAGCUAGAUGUUCCCCAGACCAUGGUCCCCACAGCCCUCAGGCCAGUAAUUUGGUCCCACAGGGAGUUUGAAUUUGUCUGUGGCUUCCGUGACCUUGCCUUGGACAAGUUGUACUGGCUCCCCCAGUAUUGUGUACUGUCUUACCCUUCACCAAAGUUGCCCCUCAUCUGUUGUCUAUUUAGUGUUUUUCUAUCUCCACCCCUCCCCUCCCUCAUAACCAUCAAAGAUUAUUUUUUUGUGCAUAAACAUUUUCAUGAGUUUUUAUAGUAGUGAUCUAUACAAUAUUUGUCCUUUGGUGAUUGACUUAUUUCACUCAGCAUAAUGCCCUCCAGAUUCAUCCAUGUGAGAUGCUUCGCAGAUUCAUCAUUGUUCUUCAUCAUUGCUUAGCAUUCCAUUGUCUGUAUGUACCAUAGUUUAUCCAUUCAUCUGUUAAUGGACAUCUAGGUUGUUUCCAUUGUUUUGCUCUUGUGAACAAUGCUGCAAUGAACAUCGGUGUGGAUAGGUCUAUUAGUGUGACAACUCUUAUUUUUCUAGGAUAUAUUCCUAGGAGUGGGACUGCUGAAUCAUAUGGCAUUUCUAUUUCUAGGUUUCUAAGAAAGCGCUAUUUCUUUUUACAAAAUGGUUGUACUAUUUUGCAUUCCCACCAGUAGUGCGUAAGAGUUCCAAUCUCUCUGCAGCCUCUCCAACAUUUGUUAUUUUCUGUUUUUUUGAUUUGUGCCAGUAAUGUUGGGGUGAGAUGGUAUCUCAUUGUGGUUUUUAUUUGCAUUUCUCUAAUGGCUAGUGAUCCCAAGCAUUUCUUCAUGUGUCUGUUAGCUGUUUGAAUUGUCUUCUUUGGUGAAGUAUUUAUUCAUAUCCUUUGCCCAUUUUUUAAUUGGAUUAUUUGUCUUUUUGUUGUAGAGGUGUUGGAUUUUCCUGUAGAUUUUAGAGGUUACACCUUUGUCAUGUAUGUCAUAGCCAAAUUUUUUUUUCCCAGUCUGUAGGUUCUCUUUUUACUCUUUUGGUGAAGUCUUCUGAUGAACAUAAGUGUUUAAUUUUAAGAAGAUCCCAGUUAUCUAGCUUAUCUUCUGGAGUUUGUAUGUUGUUAGUUAUGGUUUGUAUCCUGUUAAUGUGGUGUGUUAACGGUCUUUGGUGUUGAUCCUGUUUUUUCUUCUAUGAUCUUCAUAGUUUUUGGUUUUAUAUUUAGGUCUUUGAUCCAUUUUGAAUUAGUUUUUGUGUAUGGUGUCAGGUAUGGGUCCUGUUUCAUUUUUUUUUUUUUUUUUUUUGCAGAUGGGCAUCCAGUUUUGCCAGCACCAUUUGUUGAAAAGACUGCCUUUUUCCCAUUCAGUGGAUUUUGGAACCUUGUUAAAGAUCUGGUGACCAUAGGUGGAUGGAUUUACAACUGAGUUCUCAAUUCUUUUCCCUUGGUCAGUGUAUCUGUUGUUGUACCAGUACCAGGCUGUUUUGACUACCAUAGCUGUAUAGUAGAUUCUGAGGACAGGUACUGCGAGCCUCCUCCUUUAUUCUUCUUCAGUAGUGCUUUACUUAUCCAGGAGCUCUUCCCUUUCCAUAUAAAGUUAACAAUUACUUUUUCCAUCUCUUUAAACAACACUGUUGAUAUUUAGAUCAGGAUUGCCUUGUAUUUGUACAUUGCUUUGGGUAGAACUGACAUUUUUCACAAUGUUGAGUUUACCUAUCCAUGAACGUGGUAUGUUUUUCCAUUUAUGUAGGCCUCUUUUGGUUUCUUGCAGUAGUGUUUUGUAGUUUUCUUUGUAUAGGUCUUUUACAUCCCUCAUUAGAUUUAUUCCUAGGUAUUUUUUUAAUUUUAGGGGCUAUUAUAAAUAAUAUUGUUUUCCUGAUUUCCUUUUCAUCAUUCUCUUUAUUAGUGUAUAGGACUCAAACUCAUUUUUGUAUGUUUAGCUUAUAUCCUGCUACUCUGGUGAAUCUAUUAGUUUCAAUAGUUUUCUCAUGGAGUCUUUUGGGUUUUCUAUGUAUAAGAUUAUAUCAUCUGCAGAUAGGGACAGUUUUACGUCUUCCUUAUUAAUUUGAAUGCCCUUUAUUUCUUUUUCUUGCCUUAUUGCUCUAGCUAGGACUUCCAGCACAAUGUUAAAUAGGAGUCGUGAUAAAGGACAUCCUUGUCUUGUUCAGUUUUCAGUCUCUUUCCAUUAAAAAUAAUGUUAGCUGUUGUUUUUAUAUAAUGCCCUUUAUUAUGUUGAGGAAUUUCCCUUCUAUACCUAUUUUUUUGAGUGUUUUUAUCGGGAAUGGGUGUUGGACUUUGUCCAAUGCCUUUUCUGUAUUGAUUGAGAUGCUCAGGUGAUACUUUUACUUUAUUUAUGUUGUGGAUUAUGAGUGACUUUCUAAUGUUGAAUCAUCCUUCCAUUACUGGUAUGAAUCUCACUUGGUCGUGGUGUAUUAUUUUUUUAAUAUGAUGCCGGAUUCUUUUGGCUAGAAUUUUGUUGAGAAUUUUUGCAUCUAUAUUCAUGAGAGAUAAUUGGUCUGUAAUUUUCUUUUUUUGUGGUGUCUUUGCCUGGUUUUGGCAUCAGUGUUAUGCUGACUUUAUAGAAUGAAUUUGAAAGUAUCCCUUCCUUUUCUAUGUUCUGAAAUAGUUUGAGUAGUACUGGUGCAAGCUCUUCUCAGAAUGUUUGGUGGAAUUCUCCAGUGAAAUGAUCUGAGCCAGGGCUUUUGUUGUUGUUGUUGUUGGGAGUUUUUUAAAAUUACCUUUUCAAUCUCUUCUCAUGUUAUGUGUCUGUUCACUUUUCAACAUCAUUUUGUGUUAGUUUGGGUGGGUAAUGUGUGUCUAGAAAUUUGCCCGUUUCCUCUAGGUUUUCAAAUUUGUUGGAGUAUAGUUUUUCAUAAUACUCCGUUAUGAUCCUUUUUCUUUCAGUUGGGUCUGUUGUAAUGUCCCCCUUUUCAUUUCUUUUUUGGGUAAUUUGCAUCCUCUUUUGUUUUUCUUUUGUCAGUUUCACUAGUGGUUUGUUGAUUUUGUUGAUCCUUUCAAAGAACCAGCUUUUGGUUUUGUUAAUUCUAUUGUUUUUCUAUUCUCAAUUUCAUUUAUUUCUGCUCUGAUCUUUAUUAUUUCCUUUCUUCUGUUGGCUGUGGGCUUCUUUUGCUGUUCUUUUUCUCUUUGUUCAAGUUGUAUAGCUAAUGUUUUGAUUUUGUCCCUUUCUUCUUUUUUGAUGUGUGCAUCUAUUGCUAUAAAUUGACCUUUCAGCACUGUCUUUGCUGUGCCACAGAGGUUUUGGUAUGAUGUGUUUUCAUUCUCGUUUGAUUCUAGGAAUUUUUUGAUUCCAUCUUUGAUUUCUUCUAAUACCAAUUGUUUUUUAAGCAGGGUGUUAUUCAGUUUCCAUGUAUUUGAUUUUUUUUCCUUGCUCUUCCUAUUGGUAAUUUCUACUUUGAUGGUGUUGUGGUCAGAGAAGGUAUUUUGUGUUAUCUCGAUGUUUUGAAUUUUCUUGAGGGUUUCUUUGCAGCCUAGGAUGUGGUUUAUUCUGGAGAAUGUUCCCUGUGCAUUGGAAAACAGUGUGUACUUUGCAGCUGUUGGAAGGAGUGUCCUAUAUAUGUCUGUCAGGUCGAGUUGGCUGAUGGUGACCUUUAAGUCUUCUGUGUCUUCGUUGAGUUUCUUUCUAGAUGUUCUGUCCUUUACUGAGAGUGGUGUGUUGAAGUCUUGUACUGUUAUUGUGGAACUGUUAAUUUCUCUUUUCAGUGCCUUUAGGGUUUGUUUUAUAUAUUUUGGAACCUUGUCAUUGGGUGCAUAGAUAUUUAUUAUGGUAAUGUCAUGAUGGAUUGCCCCUUUAAUCGUCAUAUAAUGCUCUUAUUUUUCUUUUACGGUGGAUUUUGUUUCAAAGUCUAUUUUAUCUGGUAUUAGUAUUGCCACUUCUGAUCUUUUUUGGUAGAUGUUUUCUUUAUAUAUAUAUUUCCAUCCUUUGUUUUUUAAUAAAUUUACAUCUUUGUUUCUAAGGUGUGUCUCUUAUAGACUACGUAUUGAUGGAUCCUAUUUUUUUAAUCCAUUCUGUCUAUUUCUGUCUCUUUAUGGGUGCAUUUAGGCCAUUUACAUUCAGUGUAAUUAUGGAUAGGUGUGAGUUUAUUACUGUCAUUUUGUAGUGCUUUUUUGUGGUGCUAAUGUUUUAUUUCAUGCUCUUAUUUGCCUGUGCUGAAUUCCAUUUGUUUGUGGAUUUUUUUUUCUUUCAUUUUUAUAGAUUUUGUGUUUACUGAGACUUUAUGUUUUUCUUCUGUAUUUUGAUGAGUAGGUUUGUUAACUUGCGUUGUCCUUGAAAUUUAUCCUUAUCUUCCUAAGUUUGAACUAGUCUUUUGUUACUUGUUAUCGCCUCGAAUUCCUCUCCAUUUGAAAGUUCUAUAGCUGUACUGUUUAUUCCCUCUUUUAUUGUUCUAACAUUGUUGUCAUUACAGUUUAACCUCUGUGGUUCCCUGUUGUAAAUCUUUUAGUUUUGUUUUAUCCUUGAGAGUUCAUGACCUAGGUUGGUAUCUAGCUAGAUUCAGGCUAUCGUCUGAUGUUGUUGGUUCUCUAAGAGAAGGACUCCCUUUAAAAUAUUCUUGUAAAUUUGGUUUGUUUUUUACAUAUUCUCUUAAUUUCUAUUUAUCUGGAAAUGUCCUAAUUUCACCCUAAUACUUUAGCAAGAGUUUUGCUAGAUGUAUUAUUCUUGGUUGGCAUUUUUUUUUUCUUUUGAGGUUUUAUAUAUGUCACCCCAUUGCCUUCUUGCCUCCAUGGUUUCUGUUGAGUAAUCAAAACUUAGUCUGAUUGUGUCCAUUCUGUAUGUGACUUUUUAUUUUUCCUCUAACUGUUCUCAGGAUUCUUUCUUUUUCUUUGGUUUUAGCGAGUGUGAUUAUGAUAUGCCUUGGUGAUUUUCUUUUGGGGUCUGUCCUAUAUGGACUUGACUGAGCUUCUUGGACGGUCAGCUUUUCAUCUCUCAUGAUAUUAGGGAAGGUUUCUGUCAGCAAUUCUUCAAUAAUUCUCUCUGUGUUUUCCAUCCUCCCCCCCAACCCAUUUUGGAACUCCAAUCACUUGCAAAUUUUUGCUUUUGAUUGUAUCCCACAUCGUUCUCAGGGUUUCUUCAUUCUUUUCUCUGAUUUUUCCUCAAAGUUGUAUCCAAACAUUUGUCUUCAGUUUCAUUGGUCCUGUCUUUCAUUGCUUCAAACCUCUCCUCAAACCUUCUAUGAUACUGUCCAUUUUGAAAUGUUUAUCUUUUGGAUUUCUAAUUUCUUUUUUGUAUGACUUUUAGGUGUGAAUUUAUUUUGACAUUUUGUUCCUGCAUUAUUUUCCUGAAUUCUUCCAUUGUUUUGUCUGUCUUUUCCCAUGAUUUUGUCUGUGUUUUCCAUGAUUUUGUCUAUUUUUUCCUCAUUUUUGUCUGAUUUUCCUUAAUCUCUUGGAUAGCCCUGAAGAUCAGAGAUUUUAAUCCCCUAUCAGUUUGUUCUAGUGCCUUUUCUUCUGCUAGAAGGUCAUGUGAUGUUUUAUUUUGGACGACUACUCGAAGCACACUGUUCUUUUUUUAUGUUUUGCUAUUAUCUGCCCCCAGGGAGCCCACCAAUGUGGCUGCGCAGACAGGGGAAGUGACUUCCCAGCUAGCAGUGCAGCACAGGCUGUCAAAAAGGAGUGGAGGAGAAGCAGAGCCAAGAGGGCGGAAUAGACAGAUGCUUCUGGCGAGCUGUCUUUACAACAAAGACCCCCCCAAAAACAAGUAAAACUAGUAUAUUUGUGACAAGCUGGGAGCGCUGAGCUUCAAGGGCAAACUUAGAAAAUGAACUGAGGGACAGGGGGAGGAAGAGACCGUUCAGAAAUGGAGGGGAGUUACCAGACCUGAAUUGCGGGGAGCCGUCAGGCACCGUUCCUGGAGCUGCAGCGGUGGGCUGGUACUAGCGUUCGGCCGCAGAUUCCUCAGGGAGAAGCAGCCAGCCAUACAGCCUACUUACACCUCCGGAACCUGAGAAGAAUGGCGCUCUUGGCAAAAGCUAAGUACUUGCGUAUGUUUUACUGCGCCACCCCACCCCUAAGUCAGCUUCAGUGGGUGAAUUCCCUGGGCCUGAAAUAGGCCCCGUUGAGCGCUUAGAGCCAUCCUGCUGGCCUUGGAGAAGGAAAAAAAUUUGCAAUUGGGGGAAAACAUAAUUUGCCAGGUCCACCAACUGAGGGAGCUCAGGAGAGAAGUGGCUCCUGUCAGGGCAUAAAUGGUCCAUGGACUUUGAGCAGUUUUCUCUUCUGCAUGGACCUGUGUGGGUCUAUUUUGGGAGAAUUGGCCCUCGUUGGCAGACUCCAGCCAUUUCAGCUUUGUGGUGUAGAGGUGGAUGUUUGAUGUUUGACAUUGCUUUGCCUAUUAAACAAGGUCCUCACCUACCCACAUCAGGGACCCAAGGACUGGUAGCUCCACUCAGGUCACCCAGCCACCUGUGACAGGGGUCCAAGGAUAACUGGUACCUCCCAGUCCUUACAACCAAAAACAUUGGGUGCCCAUGGUCCAUCUGCGGAACCCACCCACCUGCACGCUCUAGGGAACAGGGGUGCACUUUUCGCAGACACCCGGGGGUUGGUUCUCAGCCCCCUGCCUUGUUCAGAGAGUGACACCCUGCUGCAAUCAGAUACAGGUACCUACACCAAUUACCCCUGCCCCUCUAAGACUGUAGGACAGAGCCUGUACCACACACUUGACGAUCAGCUACCUGGACACCUGAGCUGAAUUCAUACAAGAAAAAUGAAUGACUUCUAGACUGAUAUAUCUGAUAAGAGCUCUAGCCAUCUGGGGACAGGACAUAAGAGCUCCAAAGGUGAAAAUAAUCAAGCUAGCUCACUCAAGCAACCCAUUUGGGUGUAUUGAAACAAAACAAAGCAAGAAACUAUGACACAGUAAACAAGAAUGAACUAAUACAAUAACUUAUAAAUGGUUCGGAGACAAUAGUCAAUAUCAAAUCACAUAAAGAAACAGACCAUGAUCACCUCAACAAGCUCUCAAAACAAAGAAUCCAGGGAUCUUCUAGGUGAAAAUGCAUCCCUGGAAUUACCAGAGCCAGAAUACAAGAAAUUAAUAUACAGGAGCCCUCGAGACAUCUGGAAGAAAAUGAGGCAAUACGCAGAACAAGCCAAGGAACACACAGAUAAAGCAAUUGAAGAAAUUAGAAAGAUUAUUCAGGAACAUAGUGAAAAAUUUAAUAAGCUGCAAAAAUCCAUAGACAGCAAUCAGAAAUUCAGAAGAUUAACAAUAAAGUUACAGAAGUAGACAACUCAAUAGAAAGUCAGAGGAGCAGAAUUGAGCAAGUAGAAGCCAGAAUUUCUGAACUUGAAGAUAAAUCACUUGGCACUAAUAUAUUUGAGGAAAAGUCAGAUAAAAGAAUUUCAGAAAAUGAAGAAACCUUAAGAAUCAUGUGGGACUCUCUCAAGAGCAGUAACCUAUGAGUGAUUGGAGUACCAGAACAGGGAGGGAUAACAGAAAAUACAGAGAGAAUUGUUGAAGAUUUGUUGACAGAAAACUUCCCUGAUCUCCUGAAAGAUGAGAAGAUAUCUAUCCAAGAGGCUCAUCAAACUCCACAUAAGGUGGAUGUUAAAAGAAAGUCACCAAGACAUAUUAUAAUCAAACUUGCCAAAACUAAAGAUAAAGAGAGAAUUUUAAGAGCAGCUAGGAAUAAACAAAAAGAUGCCUACAAAGGAGAGCCAAUAAGAAUAAGCUUGGCCUACUCAGCGGAAACCAUGCAGACAAGAAGGCAAUGGGAUGAUGUAUUUAAAAAAUUGAAGGAAAAAAAUGGCCAGCCAAGAGUCAUAUAUCCAGCAAAACUGUCUCUUAAACAUGAAGGUAAAAUUAAGACAUUUCCAGAUAAACAGAAGUUUAGGGAAUUUGUAAAAACCAAACCAAAACUACAAAAAAUUCUAAAGGGAGAUCUUUAGUUAGAAAAUCAAUGAUACCAGGUAUCAACCCAAGACUAGGACACUGGGCUGAGCAAUCAGAAGUCAACCCAGACAGGGAAAUAAAAAAAACAAAACAAGAUUUUAUAUAUAUAUAUAAAAGCCCAAAACAGGGUAACAGCAAUGUUAUUAUAUAAAAGGAGACAACAUUAGAACAAUAAAGAGGGACUAAUAAAUGUAAUCAUUGAUCUUCCAUAUGGAGAGGAAGAUAUGGCGAUACAAAGAAAUAAAAUUAGGUUUAAAUUUAGAAAAAUAGGGAAAAAUAAUAAGGUAAGCACAAAGGAGACAAACUAUCCUACUCAUCAAAAUAAAAUACAAGAAAAAAGUAGAGACUGAGCAGAAACAAAAUCAACAACAACGAAUAUGAGGAAAGGACAACAUGUAAUCUACUGAGCACAUAAAAUUAAGUGGGAAAAAGAAACUGUCAACAACACACAAAAAAAGACAUCAAAAUCUUACCUGUGCAUAAUUACGCUGAAUGUAAAUGGACUAAAUGCACCAAUAAAGAGACAGAGUUGCCGAAUGGAUUAAAAAACAAGACCGGCCUAUAUGCUGCCUACAAGAGACACAACUUAGACUUAGAGACACAAACAAACUAAAACUCAAAGGAUGGGAAAAAAUAUAGCAAGCAAAUAACAAAAAAGAGCAGGAGUGGCAAUAUUAAUUUCUGACAAAAUAGACUUUAAAGUUAAAUCCAUCAUAAAGGGUGAGGAAGGACAUUAUAUAAUGAUUAAAAAGAUAACAAAACAAGAAGAUAUAACCAUAUUAAAUAUUUAUGCACCCAAUGACAGGGCUUCAAGAGACAUAAAACAAACUCUUUCAGCAUUGAAAAGUGAGAUAGACAGCUCCACAAUAAUAAAGGACACUUCAACACAGCACUUUUGAUGAAGGUCAGGACAUCCAGAAAGAAGCUCAAUAAAAACACGGAAGAUCUAAAUGCCACACUCAACCAACUUGACCUCAUAGACAUAUACAGAACACUCCACCCAACAGUGACCAAGUAUACUUUCUUUUCUAGUGGACAUGAAACACUCUCUAGAAUAGACCACAUAUUAGGUCAUAAAGCAAGCCUUAGCAGAAUCCAAAACAUUGAAAUAUUACAAAGCAUCUUCUCUGACCAUAAGGCCGUAAAAGUGGAAAUCAAUAACAGAAAAAGCAGAGAAAAGAAAUCAAACACUUGGAAACUGAACAAUACCCUGUUCAAAAAAGACUGGAUUAUAGAAGACAUUAAGGAUGGAAUAAAGAAAUUCAUAGAAUCCAGUGAGAAUGAAAACAGUUCCUAUCAGAACCUUUGGGACAGAGCGAAAGCAGUUCUCAAUUUAUAUCAAUAAAUGCACACAUCCAAAAAGAAGAAAGCGCCAAAAUCAAAGAAUUAUGCCUACAACUUGAACAAAUAGAAAGAGAGCAACAACAACAAAAUGCUCAGGCACCAGAAGAAAACAUACUAAAAGUGAGAGCAGAACAAAAUGAAAACAAUUGAAAGAAUUAACAAGACCAAAAGCUGCUCCUUUGAAAAAAUCAACAAAAUUGAUAAACCAUUGGCCAAAUUGACAAAAGAAAAACAGGAGAGGAUGCAAAUAGCCUGAAUAAGAAAUGAGAUGGGCAAUAUUACAACAGACCCAACUGAAAUUAAAAGAACCAUAUCAGACUAUUAUGAAAAAUUGUACUCUAACAAAUUUGAAAACCUAGAAGAAAUCGAUGAUUUCCUAGAAACACACUACCCAGCUAAACUAACACAAAGAGAGGUAGAACAACUAAAUAGACCCACAACGAAAGAAGAGAUUGAAAAGGUAAUUUAAAAAACUCCCUCAAAAAAAAGCCCUGGCCCGGACGGCUUCACCGCAGAGUUCUACCAAACUUUCAAAGAAGAGUUAACACCACUACUACUACACGUAUUUCAGAGCACAGAAAAGGAUGAAAUAGUAACAAACUCAUUUGGUGAAGCUGUCAUAUCCCUGACACCAAAACCAGGUAAAGACACCAAAAAAAAAGAAAACUACAGACCUAUAUCCCUCAUGAACUUAAAUGCAAAAAUCCUCAACAAAAUUCUAGCCAAUAGAAUUCAACAACAUGUCAAAAAAAUAAUUCACCAUGACCAUGUGGGAUUCAUACCAGGUAUGCAGGGAUGGUUCAGCAUUAGAAAAACAAUUAAUGUAAUUCAUCGCAUAAAUAAAGCAAAAGACAAGAAUCACAUGAUUUUAUCAAUUGAUGCAGAAAAGGCAUUUGACAGAGUUCCACACCCAUUCAUGAUAAAAACUCUCAGCAAAAUAGAAUAGAAGGAAAAUUCCUCAACAUAAUAAAGGGCAUUUAUACAAAGCCAACAGCCAACAUCAUCCUAAAUGGAGAGAGCCUGAAAGCAUUUCCCUUGGGAACAGGAACUAGAGAAGGAUGCUUUUUAUCAUUGCUCUUAUUCAACAUCAUGCUGGAGGUCCUAGCCAGAGCAAUUAGGCUAGACAAAGAAAUAAAGGGCAUCCGGCUUGGCAAGGAAGAAGUAAAAUUAUAUCUGUUUGCAGACAACAUGAUCUUAUACACAGAAAACCCUAAGGAAUCCUGAGGUAACUACUGAAACUAAUAGAAGAGUUCAGCAGAGCAUCAAGAUACAAGAUAAACAUACAAAAAUCAGUUGGAUUCCUCUACACCAACAAAAAGAACAUCGAAGAGGAAAUCACCAAAUCAAUACCGUUUACAGUAGCCCCCAAGAAGAUAAAAUACUUAGGAAUAAAUCUUACCAGAGAUGUAAAAGACUUAUACAAAGAAAACUACAAUACACUUCUGCAAGAAACCAAAAGAGACUUACAGAAGUGGAAAAACAUACCUUGCUCAUGGAUAGGAAGACUUAACAUUAUAAAAAGGGCUAUUGUACCAACAGUGAUCUACACAUUUAAUGUAAUUCUGAUCCAAAUUCCAACGACAUUCUUUAAUGAGGUGGAGAAACAAAUCACCAACUUCAUAGGGAAGGGAAAGAGGCCCUGGAUAAGUAAAGUGUUACUGAAAAAGAGGAACAAAGUGGGAGGCCUUACUUUACCUGAUUUUAGAACCUAUUAUGCUGCCACAGUAGUCAAAACAGCCUGGUACUGGUACAACAACAGAUACAUGGACCGAUGGAACAGAAUGGAGAAUCCAGGCAUAAAUCCAUCCACAUAUGAGCAGCUGAUAUUUGACAAAGGCCCCAAAACAGUUAAAUGGGGAAAAGACAAUCUUUUUAACAGAUGGUGCUGGCAUAACUGGAUAUCCAUCUGCAAAAAAAUGAAACAAGACCCAUACCUCAUUCCAUGCACAAAAACGAGGUCAAAAUGGAUCAAAGACCUAAAUAUAAAAUCUAAAACAAUUAAGAUCAUGGAAGAAAGAAUAGGGACAACAUUAGGAGCCCUAAUAUAUGGCAUAAACAGUAUAAAAAGUAUAAAAAACAUUAUUAAGAAUGCAGAAGAAAAACUAGGUAACUGGGAGCUCCUAAAAAUCAAACACCUAUGCUCAUCCAAACACUUCACCAAAAGAGUAAAAAGACUACCUACAGACUGGGAAAAUUUUUUAGCUAUGAUAUUUCUGAUCAGCACCUGAUCUCUAAAUCUACAUGAUACUGCAAAAACUCGACUAUAAAGAGACAAAUAACCUAUUUUAAAAAUGGGCAGAAGAUAUGAACAGAUACUUCACUAAAGAAGACAUUCAGGUAGCUAACAGAUAAUGCUCACAAUUAUUAACCAUUAGAGAAAUGCAAGUCAAAACUACAAUGAGAGUUUAUCUCACUCCAACAAGGCUGGCAUUAAUCCAAAAAACACAAAAAAAUAAAUGUUUGAGAGGCUGUGGAGAGACUGGAACACUUACACACUGCUGGUGGGAAUGUAAAAUGGUACAACCACUUUGGAAAUCGAUUUAGCGCUUCCUUAAAAAGCUAGAAAUAGAACAACCAUAUGAUCCAGCAAUCCCACUCCUUGGGAUAUAUCCUAGAGAAAUAAGAGCCUUUACAUGAACAGAUACAUGCACACCCAUGUUUAUUGCAGCACUGUUUACAAUAGCAAACAGAUGGAAGCAACCAAGGUGCCCAUCAACAGAUGAAUGGAUAAAUAAAUUAUGGUAUAUUCAUACAAUGGAAUACUAUGCAUCGAUAAAGAACAGUGAGGAAUCUGUGAAACGUUUCAUAACAUGGAGGAAUCUGGAAGGCAUUAUGCUGAGUGAAAUUAGUCAGUUGCAAAAGGACAAGUAUUAUAUAAGACCACUAUUACAAGAGCUUGAGAAAUAGUUUAAACUGGGAAGAAAACAUUCAUUUCUGGUUACGAGAAGGGGGUGGGGAAGGCAGGGAGAGGAUUAUUCACUAAUUAGAUAGUAGAUAAGAACUACCUUAGGUGAAGGGAAAGACAACACACAAUACAGGGGAGGUCACCACAACUGGACUAAACCAAAAGCAAAGAAGUUUCCUGAAUAAACUGAAUGCUUUGAAGGCCAGCGUAGCAGAGGCAGGGUUUUGGGGACCAUGGUUUCAGGGGACAUCUAAAUCAAUUGGCAUAAUAAAAUCUAUUAAGAAAACAUUCUGCAUCCCACUUUGAAGAGUGGCGUCUGGGGUCUUAAAUGCUAGCAAGCAGCCAUCUAAGAUGCAUCAAUUGGUCUCAACCCACUUGGAUCAAAGGAGAAUGAAGAACACCAAGGACACAAGGUAAUUAUGAGCCCAAGAGACAGAAAGGGCCACAUGAACCAGAGACUACAUCAUCGUGAGACCAGAAGAACUAGAUGAUGCCAAGCUACUACUGAUGACUGCCCUAACAGGGACCACAACAGAGAACCCCUGAGGGAGCAGGAGAGCAGUGGGAUGCAGACCCCAAAUUCUCCUAAAAAGACCAGACUUAAUGGUCUGACAGAGACUAGAAGGACCUCAGUGGUCAUGGCCCCCAGACCUUCUGUUGGCCAGUACAGGAACCAUUCCCGAAGCCAAUUCUUCAGACAGGGAUUGGAGUGAACAAUGGGUUGGAGAGGUAUGCUGGUGAGGACUAAGCUUCUUGGAUCAGGUGGACACUUGAGACUAUGUUGGCAUCUACUGCUGGGGCGGGGGUGGGGGAGAUGAGAGGGUGGAGGGGGUUAGAAGCUGGCGAAAUGGACAUGAAAAGAGAGAGUGGAGGGAGAGAACGGGCUGUCUCAUUAGGGGGAGAGUAAUUGGGAGUAUGUAGGAAGGUGUAUAUAUGUUUUAGUUGACUUGAUUUGUAAACUCACUUAAAGCAAAAUAAAAAUUAUAUAUAUAAAAAAAAAAGAUGGCACAUGAAGCCAGGUGUUUGAGAGACAGGAAAGUAAGGAGGUGAGAGAGAGAGUGAAGAAACUGAAAGAAGCCAAAAAUGCAACAGUAGCAACAACAAAAUGACAGUGAAGGAACUGUCUGGUGUGGAUGGGGCAAAUCCAAGUGGCAAAGAGCUGGUGUCUUCCUGGCCAAGUGACCUUGGCCUGCUGGAAAAUGGAAGAGGCCGAGCAGUGAAAAAAAGGUGGGAGGUGGGAAAGUGUGUAUUGCUCAUUACCGUGUGCUCUGUCUUCUGUCGGGAGCUCCAGGAAGCUGCCUUCCUGUACUCCCUGUCUGCCUUUCUUGGUGGGUGAGAGGCCCAAGAUGUCAAAUCCGUGCCAGGUUAGCUGAUAGGGGACCUUCAGUCUGUAGCUCUCCUUGCUUUCUGUUCUGUGUCAGUUUCUUAUUCCAUUCUGUGCUUGGUUGAGUUCUUUAUCCCUUCAUUUGACAUUUAGGGUUCCAAGAUCGAUGUUUGUCUCUGUUUUCUGUGGAGGGAUGGCGUGUUGCUUCUGUCUAUAGCGCCAGAUUGGCUCCCGUCUCAGUCGGUAUUAUGAUUUUGAGAGUAAGCCAUGUUUUUCCAUGGAUGGGUAAUUUGUUCCUUUUUUUUUUUUUUUAAUUGCUGAUCAGCAUUCUAUUAUAUGGAUGUACCACAGUUUUUUUUAUCCGUUCAGUUGUUGAUCGGCAUUUGGCUUACAUUCCCACCAACACUGUUGCUUUACAUCCUUGCCAGCACUUGCUACCCUCAGUCUUUCUAAUUUUAUCCAUUCUAGUUUUUUUAGUAAGAGUGUAGUAGUAUUGCAUUGUAGUUUUAAUAUGUAUUUGCCUAAUGACUUAUGAUGUUGAGCAUCUUUUCAUAUGCUUAUUUGCAAAUAGUGUAUCUUCUUUGGUGAAGUGUGUGUUCAGAUCUUUGGCCUGUUCUUUUUUUUGGAGGGUGGAGUUGAUUGAAUCCUUACUGUUAAGUUGUAGGUGUUCAUAUAAAAAAAAAAAAAAAUAGCCUAGACAAAAGUCCUCCAUCACAUAUAUAUGCUUUGUAAAUACUUUCUCACAAUC